rnacentral:tRNA from 1 species
UGGCUCAGAGGGUAAAGCGUCUGUCUGCAAUGCAGGAGACCCAGGUUCGAUUCCUGG